rnacentral:rRNA from 1 species
GUAUAUUUGAGUUUGGUGAUGGCUCUGAGUGAACGCUAUGUAAAUGCUUGACACAUGCUAAUCGAACGUCAAUAUUUUAUUUGUAUAAAUUAUGUAUAUUGAAGUGGUGUACAGGUGAGUAAGUGGUAUUAUGGCUACCUAAGAGUAAGGCAAAAUAAAUCCCUUAUAUUAACAAGUUAUUAUCAUUUAUUAUUAGUAAAUUUAACCCUAUAGAACAGAAAAAAUAAAUAGAUUAAAUUGAAAAGUUAAUAAGAAUAAUUUGUUUAAAAGAAAUAGUAUUUCGCUCUUAGUUGAUUAUUAAUAACCAUCGGAUAAGUAGUAAGUAUGGUAAUGGCAUAUUUAGCUUAUGUCCGUAGUCAGGACUGAGAGGUCUAUUGACCACACUGGGUCUGAAAAAACCCCAGUGCGUAUAGUACAGCAGUGAGGAAUUUUGGUCAAUGGCCUAACGGCUGAACCAGCAACUUGCAGGAAUGAGAGUUAAUAUAAUAAGUUUAUUAACUUGCUUGACUAGGUCUUAUAAAGUUCUGGAUAAAGCUUAUUAUGAAAACUUUAUAUCCAUAGGUCUCGACAAAAUCUUGUGCCAGCAGUCGCGGUAAGACAAGGGAGACGAGUGUUAUUCAUCUUUAACAGGUAUAUAGGGUACCUAGACGGUGUGCAAAGGCUUAUAUAAGUACCUGUUACACUAGAGUUUGAUAUAGGAGAGGAAUAUGUCGGAAUUGUUGGUGGAAGGAUGAAAUUUGCUAAUACCAAUAGGACUGAUAACGGCGAAGGCAAACCUCUAUGUACAUGAAAUUUGAAUUAUACGAAUCAAAUGUACGAACAAAUUUAUAACUGACGUUGAGGGACGAAGGCUCAGUAAGUGAAGAGGAUUAGAUACCCCCGUAGCCUGGGCAGACAAUGAUGAGUGUCAUAGGUUGGCUUUAAGCCGGUACUAUAAAUGAAAGUGGAAGCACUCCACCUCAAGAGUAAUGUGGCAACGCAGGAACUGAAAUCAUUAGACCGUUUCUGAAACCAGUAGUGAAGUAUGUUAUUUAAUUCGAUAAUCCUCGAAUAACCUUACCACAAUUUGAAUGAUCUAAAAUCUUUUUUUUUUAUUGAUUUUAGACCACAUGCGUUGCAUGGCUGUCUUCGGUUAAUGUUGUGAGAUUUGGUUAGGUCCAUUAAAUUAACGUAAACCCUUGUUUUAUUUAUUAUUAUAAAGCAGCUCUCCGCGUAGAAUUGGAUCGGAUAACAGGGAAUAAGACAAGUCAUCAUGGCCUUAAUAUUGUGGGCUAUAGACGUGCCACAUGUGCCUUUACAAAGGGAUGCAAUAAUGCGAAUUGGAGCUAAUCCCUAAAAUAGGAUAAAGUAUGGAUUGUUGUCUGAAAUUCGACUGCAUGAAAAAGGAAUUACUAGUAAUCGUGAGUAAUUACAUCACGGUGAAUAUUAUCUCAGAUGGGUACUAACCACUCGUCAGGCGCUGAAAGGAGUAUGUGCAAUAAGUUUGGUGGCUGCAGAUUGCUAGUCUAAAUUUUCAGGUUUAGAUCUUUCUGCAGAAAAAUCUUCGUAUGCGUGACUCUAAUUGGUGUUAAGUCGAAAUACGGUUCGGGUUGGGGAACUAGCCCGGGAUCAAUUAACCCA